rnacentral:rRNA from 1 species
GGAGGAAAGCAGGGGAUCGCAAGACCUUGCGCUUUUGGAGCGGCCGAUGCCUGAUUAGCUAGUUGGUGAGGUAAAAGCUCACCAAGGCUCCGAUCAGUAGCUGGUCUGAGAGGACGACCAGCCACACUGGGACUGAGACACGGCCCAGACUCCUACGGGAGGCAGCAGUGGGGAAUUUUGGACAAUGGGGGCAACCCUGAUCCAGCCAUGCCGCGUGAGUGUAGAAGGCCUUCGGGUUGUAAAGCUCUUUCAGCCGGAACGAAACGGUCACGGUUAAUACCCGUGACUACUGACGGUACCGGAAGGAGAAGCACCGGCUAACUACGUGCCAGCAGCCGCGGUAAUACGUAGGGUGCGAGCGUUAAUCGGAAUUACUGGGCGUAAAGCGUGCGCAGGCGGUUUUGUAAGUCAGAUGUGAAAUCCCCGGGCUUAACCUGGGAACUGCGUUUGAAACUACAAAGCUAG